rnacentral:sRNA from 1 species
CCGGACGCUCAAAGCGGGUUCGGCCACGGGCGCUGGCGGGUGUCCGGCGCGCCUCGUGAUCCAUGUUGCUUAGUCGAGGAUAUGGAAAUGAGGA